AGAGUUUGAUCAUGGCUCAGGAUGAACGCUGGCGGCGUGCCUAACACAUGCAAGUCGAACGAACCCGCAAGGGUUAGUGGCGAACGGGUGAGUAACACGUAGGUAAUCUGCCCUGUUGUGGGGAAUAACUACUGGAAGCGGUAGCUAAUACCGCAUGAGAUCGCCGGGCAACUGGUGAUGAAAGCCGAAAGGCGCAGCAGGAGGAGCCUGCGGCCCAUCAGGUAGUUGGUAGGGUAAUGGCCUACCAAGCCGAUGACGGGUAGCUGGUCUGAGAGGAUGGUCAGCCACACUGGAACUGAAACACGGUCCAGACUCCUACGGGAGGCAGCAGUGAGGAAUAUUGCGCAAUGGGCGAAAGCCUGACGCAGCAACGCCGCGUGGGUGAAGAAGGCCUUCGGGUCGUAAAACCCUUUUCUGGGGGACGAGGAAGGACGGUACCUCAGGAAUAAGUCUCGGCUAACUACGUGCCAGCAGCCGCGGUAAAACGUAGGAGGCAAGCGUUAUCCGGAUUUACUGGGCGUAAAGCGCAUGCAGGUGGCACUACAAGUCUGAUGUGAAAGCCCCUGGCUUAACUAGGGGAGUGCGUUGGAAACUGUAGAGCUGGAGGUCGGAAGAGGAAAGCGGAAUUCCCGGUGUAGUGGUGGAAUGCGUAGAUAUCGGGAGGAACACCAGUGGCGAAGGCGGCUUUCUGGUCCGGACCUGACACUAAGAUGCGAAAGCGUGGGGAGCGAACGGGAUUAGAUACCCCGGUAGUCCACGCUGUAAACCAUGGGUACUGGGUAUCGGUGGUAUUGACCCCAUCGGUGCCGAAGCCAACGCGUUAAGUACCCCGCCUGGGGACUACGGCCGCAAGGUUACAACUCAAAGGAAUUG
rnacentral:rRNA from 1 species